rnacentral:rRNA from 1 species
CAGCAGCCGCGGUAAUACAGAGGGUGCGAGCGUUAAUCGGAUUUACUGGGCGUAAAGCGUGCGUAGGCGGCUUUUUAAGUCGGAUGUGAAAUCCCUGAGCUUAACUUAGGAAUUGCAUUCGAUACUGGGAAGCUAGAGUAUGGGAGAGGAUGGUAGAAUUCCAGGUGUAGCGGUGAAAUGCGUAGAGAUCUGGAGGAAUACCGAUGGCGAAGGCAGCCAUCUGGCCUAAUACUGACGCUGAGGUACGAAAGCAUGGGGAGCAAACAGGAUUAGAUUCCCCGGUAGUCCCUGUCUCUUAUAC